AUUGUUAGCAGCUGUGAAACUUUUGCAGAGAGAGUGCUCCAGGGGCAGUGCUGUGGGGUUAAUUGCACAGCAUGGUUGGCCAGCUCUCAGCAGUUCAGAAGGGUUCCCAACAGCCUUUUGCAGUUCUGCUAAAAGCCCUGCAUGCAAAUGAAGAAGAGAAUGGGAAUGGGGAGCAUGAUGUAUUCCUAAGGAGACAAACAUCUUUAACUGUCAUAGUGUGGAAAUAGUUGCAAAAUACAACUUUCAGCCCUGACAAGAUCACAGGUACGGUUUUCACCUCAGGUAUGCCAGCAAGUACCGGGUGACAGGAUCAAUUAUCAAACAAGA